rnacentral:rRNA from 1 species
UAGGGAAUCUUCGGCAAUGGACGAAAGUCUGACCGAGCAACGCCGCGUGAGUGAAGAAGGUUUUCGGAUCGUAAAACUCUGUUGUUAGAGAAGAACAAGGACGUUAGUAACUGAACGUCCCCUGACGGUAUCUAACCAGAAAGCCACGGCUAACUACGUGCCAGCAGCCGCGGUAAUACGUAGGUGGCAAGCGUUGUCCGGAUUUAUUGGGCGUAAAGCGAGCGCAGGCGGUUUCUUAAGUCUGAUGUGAAAGCCCCCGGCUCAACCGGGGAGGGUCAUUGGAAACUGGGAGACUUGAGUGCAGAAAAGGAGAGUGGAAUUCAAUGUGUAGCGGUGAAAUGCGUAGAUAUAUGGAGGAACGCCAGUGACGAAGGCGGCUCACUGGUCUGUAACUGAAGCUGAGGCUCGAAAGCGUGGGGAGCAAACAGG